rnacentral:lncRNA from 1 species
AAUGAGACUUCAAGGAGAAUCCAAGAUGUUUCAAGGCAGUCUAGGGAUGAUAAAUCAAAUUGGUUAUGUUGUACCCACUAGCAUUAAUUUAUAAUAUAUAGCAUGCCAUUGAUAUGAUCCUGAGGUCAUAGUGGAUAGAGUUGAUUAUCAUCAAUAUUUAUCAUGUCUUUAAUCUCCAGCCAGCAGCCCUAUUUUUUUCUGAAAGUUAAAUUCUUCAACUAAAGAUUCCUUUAUAGAGGGCUUUUCACUUGUGGUUGGAGAGGGAACAGGUUGACACAGGUUCUAAUAGCUGGGUACAGCAAGGUUUUACAAAGCAGAUUAAGUGGUUUUAACUUUUAUUUAUCAUAUGCACUGUGAUGCAUAGACAAUACCACCAAAAAUAAAAACAAAAAUUCGCUCUAUUUAUGAAAAAAGGACAUUUCCUAAAAUCCCAACAUAAAGUAUUGUCAUAAAUUAUGAUAAAUAUAUGUAAUGAGAUGUUAUGCAGCAGUUUUAGAAAGAUCAUAAAAAACAUGAGGAAACCCACACAUAUUAGUAUAAUAUUAAGCCAGAGAAAAACCUGUCAAGUGUUAUAUAUUAUGCUAUGCUAACAGAAAAAAAUUGAAUAGACACUAGAAUUUAUUUAUUUAUUUUAGACACUAGAAUUUAAUGUCAAACUUUUGUCAAUGCAUUAUCUCUAGAGAAUGGGAUUAUUACUUAUGUUUCCUUUUAUGUUUUUCUAUAUUUUAUAAAUUUUCUCAUGUUUUACUUUUUUAACACCAAAAAACCCCAAAGUUUGAUAAAAAUAAAGUUCAAAAAUUUAAGAUCUGGAUCUGGGAAUACUGAAUUUCCCAGGUGCCAUUGGCAUAGUUUUAGAUCAUGUACAAGAAGGGUAAGACAGCAGGAGUCUGCAUUCAGGAUGUGGAACAGCCUUUAUAUCAUAAAUUUUGCAAUAUUCCAAGAGGGCUGCCCUUUUUAUUCCCUAUAUAUAGUCAGAUUGAAUCUGUAUAUGGUUAGACAAUUUGCUUAGCUUUUAAAUAAUCAAAUCACUUAUUUUUCAUAAUACUAAAUAUACUAAAUACUAAACUGAAUAGUUUGUUUUUAUUUAAUUAAAUUACAUUUUACACUGGAUAUUUAGACUUACAAGCCAUAUCUUGAAGGAUUUCACUGAAUGUCAGGUCAACACUCCCCCUACAUUUCACAGAUGAGAAAUCUGAGGAUCAAGGAAGUUAGUCAGCUGACUCUCAGGCAAAAGUCUGAUUAGUGAGAGAAGGAAGACUAGACUCCAGCCAUCCUGAAUUGGCAGCUGACAGGAUCUAUAGAGUAAAAGAUGACAGAUGAAAAAUGAUUAAUAUAAUUUAAAAAUUAGUUUCUCUGUAUAUUGAAGAUUGUUUGAAAUAAUUUGCCAUUUUCUGAUGUUUAAAGCAAAUGCCUACAAAAGAGGUGUGUAUUUUUGGCCAGAGAAAAAGCUAAGAAGGAAAAGACUCAGCAACUAUGAAGAGACAUGUGUAGGAAAUAAAAAUGUUCACAAGCAUUUAUUAUUCAAAGUACCCCUGAUAAAUUGGGUUUUGUGGUCCACAGGAUCUAAAGUUCAUUGAGCCUCUAUAAUAUGCAGGCUUUCUGUAGGGCUCCUUUCCCUACACCAUCUCUUGGAACCUCACAAGCAUGCUAUAUUUUAAAAAAAAAAAAGUGUUAUUUCCAUCCAUGCUUUGGAACUGGGGAAAAUUAUUAGGCUCAGAGAGGUUAUAAGGAUUUUUCAAGGUCACUCAGCUAAUAUCUAGCCAACCCAGAUUUCCCAUGUAGACCAUGUAGACUUGGAAGUCUACCAUGCUUCUGAACAGAGAGAACAAGAGGCCCCAUUGGCUAAGCUUGUGGCUUCCAAUAACUACAACCUUUGCAUAUGGCAUAUUUAGCCACCUGCCCCAACUUGUAGCUGCUUAGGUGGAUCAUGGUCAAAAUCCAUUUUUCUUUGAUGUUGGGAAUAAAGAAUGCUCUGUCUUGAAAUAAGUAAGGAUGAAAGAUAUUCCCUGUCUGAUAUAGUGAGUCUAUAUGUUUAAAUUACCUCAUGACCUACUAUUUUUGCAAAUUUCUAGAAACUGCUCCUCCCUCAGAAGAUGCCAAUAGUAGUAUUUGGUCUUAAGAGUACUCUAAUUGUUUCACAUGUUCCUUCCUUGUCAAAUCAUAGUGAGAUAUAUAUAAUUUUCUUAUUGUUUGAGGCUGACCUCAACAUAAAUCAAGGCUUAUUGAGAAGGGGUUAGAUGGAUGAUAGCUUUGGAGAAUUAAAAUUGUUUCUGUGUAAAGAGCCAAGUAUCACCUCUUCUCAUUUAGCAAGAACCACAUCAAACAUUGCCCUCUUCUUUUCUCCAUCUUCCUCUUU